ACUUGACCUCAAAUCAGGCAGGACUACCCGCUGAACUUAA
rnacentral:rRNA from 1 species